UGGGGAAUAUUGGACAAUGGGCGCAAGCCUGAUCCAGCCAUGCCGCGUGAGUGAUGACGGCCUUAGGGUUGUAAAGCUCUUUCGCUCGGGACGAUAAUGACGGUACCGAGAUAAGAAGCCCCGGCUAACUUCGUGCCAGCAGCCGCGGUAAUACGAAGGGGGCUAGCGUUGUUCGGAAUUACUGGGCGUAAAGCGCGUGUAGGCGGGUCUUUAAGUCAGGGGUGAAAUGCCAAGGCUCAACCUUGGAACUGCCUUUGAUACUGGAGGUCUUGAGUCCGGGAGAGGUGAGUGGAAUUGCGAGUGUAGAGGUGAAAUUCGUAGAUAUUCGCAAGAACACCAGUGGCGAAGGCGGCUCACUGGCCCGGAACUGACGCUGAGACGCGAAAGCGUGGGGAGCAAAC
rnacentral:rRNA from 1 species